rnacentral:rRNA from 1 species
UAGGGAAUCUUCGGCAAUGGACGAAAGUCUGACCGAGCAACGCCGCGUGAGUGAAGAAGGUUUUCGGAUCGUAAAACUCUGUUGUUAGAGAAGAACAAGGACGUUAGUAACUGAACGUCCCCUGACGGUAUCUAACCAGAAAGCCACGGCUAACUACGUGCCAGCAGCCGCGGUAAUACGUAGGUGGCAAGCGUUGUCCGGAUUUAUUGGGCGUAAAGCGAGCGCAGGCGGUUUCUUAAGUCUGAUGUGAAAGCCCCCGGCUCAACCGGGGAGGGUCAUUGGAAACUGGGAGACUUGAGUGCAGAAGAGGAGAGUGGAAUUCCAUGUGUAGCGGUGAAAUUCGUAGAUAUAUGGAGGAACACCAGUGGCGAAGGCGGCUAUCUGGUCUGUAACUGACGCUGAGGCUCGAAAGCGUGGGGAGCAAACAGG